UACGGGGGGGGCAAGCGUUGUUCGGAUUUACUGGGCGUAAAGGGCUCGUAGGCGGCCAACUAAGUCGGAUGUGAAAUCCCCAGGCUCAACCUGGGAACUGCAUCCGAUACUGGAUGGCUUGAAUUCGGGAGAGGGAUGCAGAAUUCCAGGUGUAGCGGUGAAAUGCGUAGAUAUCUGGAGGAAUACCGGUGGCGAAGGCGGCAUCCUGGACCGACAUUGACGCUGAUGAGCGAAGGCUAGGGGAGCAAACGGG
rnacentral:rRNA from 1 species